rnacentral:rRNA from 1 species
CACGUAGGGGGCGAGCGUUGUCCGGAUUUAUUGGGCGUAAAGAGCUCGUAGGCGGUUAGACAAGUCGGGUGUGAAAGCUCGAGGCUCAACCUCGAGACGCCACUCGAUACUGUUUUGACUGGAGUCCGGUAGAGGAGUGCGGAAUUCCUGGUGUAGCGGUGAAAUGCGCAGAUAUCAGGAGGAACACCGGUGGUGUAGACGGCUUACUGGACCACGACUGACACUGAGGCACGAAAGCGUGGGUAGCAAACAGG